CUUCCCUCUUCAGAUUCCCCAAUUUAUGCGUUCUCCUCUUCUCCUUCCAUCCCUCCCUGCCAACGUUUCAAUCUCCCGAUCUCCCCAUCACCACAAACACACAUGGAACGGAUGGCGGCAUGCAUCCAUCUUCAUCACCCAUCCAGGGAUUUUAUUGCCCAUCUCCUUCUAGUGAUGGGAAGAAGGGCGGCUGCAUCUUCUUCUUCCCUAGCGCCGGCUACCUCAGCAAACACCACGGAUGGCAUCUCCACCACUUCCCCGACGGUGAGGCACCUGCCGUGGAGGUGGACUUGCAGGCGCUCCUCCACGCCAACGACGGUGAUCUAUCCCGCUCCCACCUCAACCACGCGGGGCGUCAUCGGCAUCCGGCCGUAAGGCGAAGACGACCCGUCGCCGUUCGUAAGAAAAAGGCCAUGUUGAGAACCACAUGGUGACCGCUCGAGGCAUUCAACUCUCAGCAGCACCCUUAUACCACUCCAACUGGUAUCGUUUCAACGGGUUCCUGUUCUUCUAAAUCAAAGAUAAUAAGGCCAACCAGACAUAAGAAAGUUUCUACAAGGAGAUGUGUGCGAUAUGGAUGGCUAGGUGGUCGUAAGGAUGGUCUUGGUAAACAAUUGUCUGAUGAUCUUGAGUUAAGUCGAUCUCUGAAUCCUAUUUGCUUGAAAUAUCUGAAUUUGCAUGUUAUUGUCUCUGAACAAUUAAUCUGUCGCCCGCCUUAUCAGCACUAGUGCAGAACCGGGCAAUAGCACCGGUUCGUAAGACCCUUUAGUGCCGGUUCCAUAACCGGCACUAAAGUGUGGGCACUAAAGCCCCCCCCCCCUUUAGUACCGGUUCAGCACGAACCGGUGCUAAAGGGCAACCAUGUGGCACGAGCCAGCUCCGGAGGCCUGGAGCCCUUUAGUAUCGGUUGGUAAGACCAACC